UACGGAGGGUGCGAGCGUUGUCCGGAAUCACUGGGCGUAAAGGGCGCGUAGGUGGCGCAGGAAGUCAACGGUGAAAGCCCUGGGCUCAACCCGGGAAUUGCGCUUGAGACUGGUGUGCUAGAGUACGGGAGAGGAUAGUGGAAUUCCCAGUGUAGAGGUGAAAUUCGUAGAUAUUGGGAAGAACACCGGUGGCGAAGGCGGCUAUCUGGACCGUAACUGACGCUGAGGCGCGAAAGCGUGGGGAGCAAACAGG
rnacentral:rRNA from 1 species